UGAAAUUCUACAUCAGUAUAUUCUAGAAUUUUCAAUGAAAAUACUAUUAUGAGACUUUUUCAAAUAUAAUGCGCAAGUCAUUUACACUAAGAAAUUUUUAUUUCUAGAUUUUGAUUUGAAUAAUUUUAUGCAUGUAUUUAUUUACACAUAAUAAUCAUGCACAUAUAAAAGAUGCUUUCUCAAUCCUCAGUGUUUUCAAAGUGGAAUGUUGAAAUGAGAGUAAUUAUCAAAUCCAUCAUCAAUUCUAAUUAACAUUUUUAGGUGUGAACAUUCAAAGUCUACUUUGUUCAGCUACUGAAAAUAUAUAAAGCAACUGUAUGUUCACCAUCCUGUGCAAUAGAUCACUGAAGGCUAAUCUUUCUGUGUUGUUGAAACUUUGAACACUUUGAUCAAUAUUUCCCUGUUACCCACUGAACCUCCUCUGCCAGAAUCUGGUAAAAAUUGUUUUACUCUAUAGAUGUAUAAAUUCAACUCUGUGAGAUUCCACAUAGAAGUGAUUAUGCCUGGCAUGUUUCACAUGGAAUAAAGCCCUCAGGGUUCAGCCAGGUUGGUGCAAAUCCCAGGACUUCCUGAUGAUUAACCUUGUAUAGUUCCAUUCCAUUAGUUUAUGUGCUGGAUUUUUUCCCCUCUAUCAGAUGAGGGACACCUAGGUUGCUUCCAUGUCAACAAAGCUGCAGCUAAUAAGAGUUGAAGAUAUUUCUCCAGUGGAGUGAUUUCAGUAUCUUGGAUAUACCAAUGAUGAGAUUGCUCUGAGAUAUGUGCUUUGGCUUGUAUCUAGUUGUCCCUCAAAGCCUCAUGCCUCAUACAUGGGGCUUUUUGUAGGUGUCUGGAACUAGGGUGUGAGAAUAUAUAUGGAUUAUAGGUUUGUGACAACUGGAUUACUCUUUGUGGAGAAUUUUGAACAUGAAAGAUUGUUGAAUUUUGUCUAAUGAUUUUCUGCAUUUAUUGGGGUGAUCUAUAAAUCUAUUUUUCAUCCUGUCAGUCCAUUCCAUCACUUAUAUUUAUUUGCAUGCAUUCAACCAAAUUUGCUUCCCAAGAGUAAAUCCCAAGUGGUCAUGCUAAAACUUACUUUUAAUGUGCUGUUGAAUUUGGUUUGCCUGGAUUUUGUUGGGGGAUAUUAGAUGUAUGUUCAUGAAGAAUACUGGCUGGGAAUUUAUUUUCUUGUACCAUCAUUUUAACUUUGGUAUGAGGAUAGUGCAAGUUACAUAACUUGAAUUUGAAAGAAUUCCCUCCAGAAGCUGACCCAGCAGGCACAAUGUAAGCUCAGAAAGAACCUGCAGCCCCAUUGAGAAAAAACAGACAAGCACUUGUAGCACCAAGAAAAACAAUGCUUAUUGCAAGAUGCAAAGCAAGUAGAUUUUACCCUGAAAGUGACACUUUCAGCAUGGUAGGCUAGUUUUGAAGAAGAAAUCCACUGCAGUGCCACCAUAUUUACAAGUGGUCUGAUCAGAAGCCAAUUUGAAAAGAGAUUUAUUGGAUAAGACUGAGUUCCUAUGGGAAUAAAAAGUCACAGAAAACAUGUUCUGGCUCCUGAGUGGGAUGCUGAGCUGAGCCUUUCUUCAGGCCAAAGGGCAUCAUUGCCCUGUGGGUUGCUCAGUGCACUUGCUCCCUGGCUGCUGAAAGCCAGGAGCUCCAUGCCUCAGCCUGCUCCCACUGCUGGCAGCACUCGCCUGAUUCUCAAGGCCUGCUGCAGCAGAUGGGAUGCAUCAGACGAAGCCUAGGCAGAGAUCAUCCAGCUUCUAAAAGGAGACAAGUUGAGCAUCACGAAAGAUGAGCCAGAAGAGGCUGAGCUAAUUUUGCAUGAUGCUCUCACCUUGCCUAUCAGAGUGAGAACAAUAAGGCUAUCCCUUACACUUAUGAUGUGAUGGCUAACUGAGGAUUUAUAUGAGGUCAGCUUGAAAAUGCUGAACAGCUUUUUAAGCAAAAAUGAAUUACCUGUUUGGAGGGGGCAUGAAGCAGGAAGACAACACAAUAAUUGGAAUCUCCCAGAAGCUGGACAGUAUCUAUGCUGCUCAGAAGAGCCAAGAAUUUGCUCUUGCUGGAUAAGAAUUCUACAUUUCAACUCUAGAGGAAAAAAUUGAAGGAGAAACAGAGUUAGCAGAAGAUCUUGUGUCAGUGGAAGAAAAAGCUAAUACCUACCUCCUCCCAGCAUGUGCAUAGAUGCCUGUGCAUAAUAACUUCUGUUUUCCAAAAAGUCAUCACUGGCACAAAGGAUGUCUGAAAAUUCUCUGCAGGUUUCUGAAGAAUUAUAAGAAGAAAGACCCCAUAGACAAUUGUACUGAUGAAUGACCUGGCUACUAUCUUGGAUGCACAGGGCCACUUUGAUGAGGCCAAUGUUUAUAUGCAAAGACCAUCAGAACUGGCAAGACAGAAAAAUCAUCCUGGGCUGCACAUUACUGUACUCAGUAAUCUAGCUGCAAUUUUGAUACAUAGAAAAUGAUACACACAAGUAAAAGAGAUCCACCAGGAAGCAAUGAAGCAAGCAGAGCUGAAAAGAGAUGAGGAUUCUACACAGCACAUCAAAGAAGAAUUGGCUGAGCUGUUCAGAAAAAAGAUCUUUGACUUAAAGUUAUCAAACUCUAAAUCUAUUUUUGUGGUAGGAAGAAUCCUUAAUUUCUGGUAACCAACAGGAAUAGUUAUUUCAAUGACUGUGGCACCCUAGUCAAUCAUGUAAAUCCUUUGUUCUUGAUAUUCAGGUUUCCUCCACAUAGCCGUGGCAAAGGACAAGUUGUAUACACUGCCAAUUUUGCUUUUAAAGGAAAAAUAAUUUUGACACAAGUAAUCACAACUUCUAAGGACUGAUGUUAAGUGAAGGUUUCUGUUGUACUAUGAUUAGUUGGUGUUCAUGCUAGUGUAAUUACAGAUUGAAAUGGGCCAGUUUUACUUUGGGUAUGGUAAUUAUACCUAGUUAUCUCUACCACAAGGUAUUGGUUCACUGAUUUAUUGCCCUUUCUUCUCUUUAUUAUGAUCUGGCAGAACAAGCUAUUCAUCUCCUGGCAUGGGGGGGGUAUGGUGAGUUAAUUCUGUUACAAACUACUUCAUAAAGCACAGUGUGGAUUUAAUGUACAAAGGAAGAUUGCCACCAGCACUCCACAUGAAGUUUUGAAGUGAACAUUGGGUACCUGUGAAUAUAAUACCCACAUGAUGAUUAUUAAUAAAAGUGAACAAUUUGUCUGGUUUUAUGUAGCUAUUAAAAAUGGUGGUGCUAUCCUGUCAUCUGCAAAUAAUGACAAUUUGACUUCUUUAUUCCUUUUAUUUCUUUCUCUUGUCUAAUUGCUGUGGAUAAGGUUUCUAGAACUAUAUUGAACAAGAGUGGUGAUAGUGGACAUCCUUGUCUUGUUCCUGAGUUUAGUGUGAAGGAUUUCAGUUUUUGACCAUUUAGUAUGAUAUUGGCUGUUGGUUUUUCAUAGAUGGCUUCUAUCAGUCUGAGGUAGAGACCAUCUAUUCCAAUUUUCAUAGGGUUUUUAUCAUAAAUGCAUGUUCAAUUUUGUCAAAUGCUUUUUCUGCAUCUAUGGAGAUAAUCAUAUGUUUUUGUCUUAGCUCUAUGUGGGGGGCCUUGCCCCCCCCGCUAGAACUCUUGAGUGCCUUUUACGGACAUAUCCGGGCCUGCUGCAAAUCUACCCGGCAACAAGGAAGUAGCCCCAGUACCCUCCUCUUGCUCCUCCCCUCUAGCCCUACGGUAUAUAUGUUGUAGCAGCUUCCGCAAUAAACGAGACCUGAUCAGAAACCUGUCUUGUCUCCAUCUCUCGUGUCCCCUGUCCUUUGUCAUUCUCACCCCCCCUCUAGGGUCUCCGUUGACUUACCCGCGGGCCGGGACAAGUGGCGCCCAACGUGGGGCCAGAGAACGGGGGGAUCCAGUGAAGAACGCUGCUCGGGGGCCCAAUAAAAUAAAAUAGAAAAAAGAGGAUUGCGUCUGACGUGAACCUGCCGUCUUUCCUGCACCUCGCCCCUGCCUCUGACCCCGCCCCGCCUGUUAAGGAGGUACCAGCCUUGUA
ensembl:lncRNA